rnacentral:rRNA from 1 species
UACGAAGGGGGCUAGCGUUGUUCGGAAUUACUGGGCGUAAAGCGCGCGCAGGCGGCUAUCCAAGUCAGUGGUGAAAGCCCGGAGCUCAACUCCGGAACUGCCAUUGAAACUGUUUAGCUUGAGGACGAGAGAGGUGAGUGGAAUUCCCAGUGUAGAGGUGAAAAUUCGUAGAUAUUGGGAAGAACACCGGUGGCGAAGGCGGCUCACUGGCUCGUAUCUGACGCUCAGGCGCGACAGCGUGGGGGAUCAAACAGG